rnacentral:rRNA from 1 species
CCUACGUGUGGCAGCAGUAGGGAAUCUUUCACAAUGGGCGAAAGCCUGAUGGAGCAACGCCGCGUGCAGGAUGAAGGCCUUCGGGUUGUAAACUGCUUUUAUAAGCGAGAAAUAUGAUGGUAACUUAUGAAUAAGGAUCGGCUAACUACUUGCCAGCAGCCGCGGUAAUACGGGGGAUGCAAGCGUUAUCCGGAUUUAUUGGGUUUAAAGGGUGCGCAGGCGGCCUGUUAAGUUAGCGGUAAAAGCCCGGGGCUCAACCCCGGCGAGCCGUUGAAACUGGCGGGCUGGAGUUGGAGAGAAGUACGCGGAAUGCGCGGUGUAGCGGUGAAAUGCUUAGAUAUCGCGCAGAACCCCGAUUGCGAAGGCAGCGUACCGGCUCCACACUGACGCUGAGGCACGAAAGCGUGGGUAUCGAACAGGAUUAGAUACCCUAGUAGUC